GAUGAACGCUGGCGGCGUGCCUAAUACAUGCAAGUCGAGCGAACAGACGAGGAGCUUGCUCCUUUGACGUUAGCGGCGGACGGGUGAGUAACACGUGGGUAACCUACCUAUAAGACUGGGAUAACUUCGGGAAACCGGAGCUAAUACCGGAUAAUAUUUCGAACCGCAUGGUUCGAUAGUGAAAGAUGGCUCUGCUAUCACUUCUAGAUGGACCUGCGCCGUAUUAGCUAGUUGGUAAGGUAACGGCUUACCAAGGCAACGAUACGUAGCCGACCUGAGAGGGUGAUCGGCCACACUGGAACUGAGACACGAUCCAGACUCCUACGGGAGGCAGCAGUAGGGAAUCUUCCGCAAUGGGCGAAAGCCUGACGGAGCAACGCCGCGUGAGUGAUGAAGGUCUUCGGAUCGUAAAACUCUGUUAUUAGGGAAGAACAAACGUGGAAGUAACUGUGCACGUCUUGACGGUACCUAAUCAGAAAGCCACGGCUAACUACGUG
rnacentral:rRNA from 1 species